rnacentral:rRNA from 1 species
UACAGAGGGUGCAAGCGUUGUCCGGAUUUAUUGGGCGUAAAGAGCGUGUAGGCGGCUGGGUAGGUCUGCUGUGAAAACUCGAGGCUCAACCUCGAGACGUCGGCGGAAACCCUCCAGCUAGAGUCCGGAAGAGGAGAGUGGAAUUCCUGGUGUAGCGGUGAAAUGCGCAGAUAUCAGGAAGAACACCCGUGGCGAAAGCGGCUCUCUGGGACGGUACUGACGCUGAGACGCGAAAGCGUGGGGAGCGAACAGG